GACGAACGCUGGCGGCGUGCUUAACACAUGCAAGUCGAACGGAAAGGCCCUGCUUGCAGGGUACUCGAGUGGCGAACGGGUGAGUAACACGUGGGUGAUCUGCCCUGCACUUCGGGAUAAGCCUGGGAAACUGGGUCUAAUACCGGAUAGGAGCCAUUUUUAGUGUGGUGGUUGGAAAGUUUUUUCGGUGUAGGAUGAGCUCGCGGCCUAUCAGCUUGUUGGUGGGGUAAUGGCCUACCAAGGCGGCGACGGGUAGCCGGCCUGAGAGGGUGGACGGCCACAUUGGGACUGAGAUACGGCCCAGACUCCUACGGGAGGCAGCAGUGGGGAAUAUUGCACAAUGGGCGCAAGCCUGAUGCAGCGACGCCGCGUGGGGGAUGACGGCCUUCGGGUUGUAAACUCCUUUCGCUAGGGACGAAGCUUUUUGUGACGGUACCUAGAUAAGAAGCACCGGCUAACUACGUG
rnacentral:rRNA from 1 species